rnacentral:rRNA from 1 species
AGAUUGAACGCUGGCGGAAUGCUUUACACAUGCAAGUCGAGCGGCAGCGCGGGGCAACCUGGCGGCGAGCGGCGAACGGGUGAGUAAUGCAUCGGAACAUGUCCAUUCGUGGGGGAUAGCCCGGCGAAAGCCGGAUUAAUACCGCAUACGCCCUUAGGGGGAAAGCCGGGGACCGCAAGGCCUGGCGCGAAUGGGUGCCGAUGCCCGAUUAGCUAGUUGGCGGGGUAAUGGCCCA